GGUCCGAUGCCACGUCUCUGGUAGCUAAUAUAAGCUCUGACCAAAGAUGCUAUGAUUGGACCAAUAUCAAUUUGUUUUGCAUUCUGAUAGGAAUCUGCUAAUCAUAUAUACUAUGAUUUUGCGGAGCCGUUUUGUGCAAUUACAUUU
rnacentral:snoRNA from 1 species